UUUUAGUUUCUCUCUCUCUCUCUCUCUCUCUCGGUUUCUCUGUUUCUAUCAGAUUAAAAAUGAUAAAGAUGGACAAGACUGGGGGAGAGAGAGAGAGAGAAAGAUGAGUGU
rnacentral:misc_RNA from 12 species